UACGUAGGGGGCAAGCGUUGUCCGGAUUUAUUGGGCGUAAAGAGCUCGUAGGCGGUUUCGUAAGUCGGGUGUGAAAACUCUGGGCUCAACCCAGAGACGCCACCCGAUACUGCGAUGACUAGAGUCUGGUAGGGGAUCGUGGAAUUCCUGGUGUGAGCGGUGAAAUGCGCAGAUAUACAGGAAGAACACCCCGUGGCGAAGGGCGGCUCUCUGGGACGGUACUGACGCUGAGACGCGAAAGCGUGGGGAGCGAACAGG
rnacentral:rRNA from 1 species